CCUACGGGAGGCAGCAGUGAGGAAUAUUGGUCAAUGGGCGCGAGCCUGAACCAGCCAAGUCGCGUGAGGGAAGACGGUCCUAUGGAUUGUAAACCUCUUUUGUCGGGGAGCAAAGGACGCCACGCGUGGCGUUCCGCGAGUACCCGAAGAAAAAGCAUCGGCUAACUCCGUGCCAGCAGCCGCGGUAAUACGGAGGAUGCGAGCGUUAUCCGGAUUUAUUGGGUUUAAAGGGUGCGCAGGCGGAUUAUAAAGUCAGCGGUAAAAUUGGGAGGCUCAACCUCUUCGAGCCGUUGAAACUGGUUUUCUUGAGUGAGCGAGAAGUAUGCGGAAUGCGUGGUGUAGCGGUGAAAUGCAUAGAUAUCACGCAGAACUCCGAUUGCGAAGGCAGCAUACCGGCGCUCAACUGACGCUGAUGCACGAAAGUGUGGGUAUCGAACAGGAUUAGAUACCCCAGUAGUC
rnacentral:rRNA from 1 species